AACAGGAUUAGAUACCCUGGUAGUCCACGCCCUAAACGAUGUCAACUGGUUGUUGGGAGGGUUUCUUCUCAGUAACGUAGCUAACGCGUGAAGUUGACCGCCUGGGGAGUACGGCCGCAAGGUUGAAACUCAAAGGAAUUGACGGGGACCCGCACAAGCGGUGGAUGAUGUGGUUUAAUUCGAUGCAACGCGAAAAACCUUACCUACCCUUGACAUGCCAGGAAUCUUGCAGAGAUGUGAGAGUGCUCGAAAGAGAACCUGGACACAGGUGCUGCAUGGCCGUCGUCAGCUCGUGUCGUGAGAUGUUGGGUUAAGUCCCGCAACGAGCGCAACCCUUGUCAUUAGUUGCUACGAAAGGGCACUCUAAUGAGACUGCCGGUGACAAACCGGAGGAAGGUGGGGAUGACGUCAGGUCAUCAUGGCCCUUAUGGGUAGGGCUACACACGUCAUACAAUGGCCGGGACAGAGGGCUGCCAACCCGCGAGGGGGAGCUAAUCCCAGAAACCCGGUCGUAGUCCGGAUCGCAGUCUGCAACUCGACUGCGUGAAGUCGGAAUCGCUAGUAAUCGCGGAUCAGCUUGCCGCGGUGAAUACGUUCCCGGGUCUUGUACACACCGCCCGUCACACCAUGGGAGCGGGUUCUGCCAGAAGUAGCUAGCCUAACUGCAAGGAGGGCGAUUACCACGGCAGGGUUCGUGACUGGGGUGAAGUCGUAACAAGGUAACC
rnacentral:rRNA from 1 species